CAUACAGCAGAAAUAAUUGUUCUCGGUUGGGAUAAACCAGGAGGGCUUCCCAGGGGAGGUGACAUGUGAGGGAGAUCAGAAUGGAGGCGUCCCAGGACAAGACUUUUCUAACUAACUUAGCUAGAGUGGGGACCACAGGGGAUCCGGAGUAUGUCAUUGUCUCACUUGGCUGAUUUUUCUCAUCUCAGUAGAUGCAGAGGACAGUUGCAGAGCCAUGACACCCUGUUGACUUGGGAGAUGAAGGUGACCUUGCAGCCCCAGCAACCAGAUACCGAACUCCCAGGCUCCCAAAGGGACAUUGUCCAUAGGAGCUUAAAAAGUGAAGUCAUCAGUUUCCUAGCUUCAAAAUUCAAAAGCCUCAUUCCAGGCACAGAUGGGCUGGAAGAAGUUACACUCAGAGCCCAGUCUGCAAUUUCAAACCUCUGGCGGAAGAAUUGCACUUGACCAUGUGAUGACAACAAUUGAGCCACCCAGCUUAGAGCCAGAGAUGGGAGCCUCACAUCGAGGAUGGCAGAGACAUCUCACCAGCUUGGGCACUCCAGGGAGAGAUGCAGAGCUCCCUCCUGCUCUGGACUGCGAUGUAUCUUGCAUGAGCACCUCUCAUUGAAGAACCUACUGUGUAACCCCGCUGGUCACAGAGGCUGAGAAAUGCAGCAUCCACAUUUCCAGUCUCUGCAGUAGAGGAGAUGGUACAGAAAAGAGCAAGAGAUUGUCUAGCACACAUUGUCUACUCUGGAUGCCACAUUGACAUUUCUCCCAGCGUUUUCAUAUAAAAUUAGUUGAGCUGACUUAGAAAUGACCACACUGGUGAGUUUCAAUGUAAGUUGCACAUACAUAAA
rnacentral:lncRNA from 1 species